UCUCUGGUGGUCCAGUGGCUAACACACUAUGCUCCCAAUGCAGGGGGCCCAGGUUCGAUCCCUGGUCAGGGAA
rnacentral:tRNA from 1 species